rnacentral:rRNA from 1 species
GACGAACCGUCCAAACGUUAUUCGGAAUCACUGGGCUUAAAGGGCGCGUAGGUGGGUUGGCCAGUCUAUGGUGAAAUCCUCCGGCUUAACCGGAGAACUGCCGUGGAUACUGCCAGUCUCGAGGAGGGUAGGGGCGUCUGGAACUAGCGGUGGAGCGGCGAAAUGCGUUGAUAUCGCUAGGAACUCCGGUGGCGAAGGCGAGACGCUGGACCCUUUCUGACACUGAGGCGCGAAAGCCAGGGGAGCGAACGGG